ACCAGUGACACCAGUGUCACCAGUGUCCCCAGUCCCAGUAUCCCCAGUUCCAUCCCAGUAUCCCCAGUUCCAUCCCAGUUCCAUCCCAGUUCCCUCCCAGUUCCUUCCCAGUUCCGUCCCAGUUCCAUCCCAGUUCCCUCCCAGUAUCCCCAGUUCCAUCCCAGUUCCAUCCCAGUUCCCUCCCAGUAUCCCCAGUUCCAUCCCAGUUCCCUCCCAGUAUCCCCAGUUCUCUCCCAGUAUCCCCAGUUCCGUCCCAGUUCCAUCCCAGUUCCAUCCCAGUAUCCCCAGUUCCCUCCCAGUAUCCCCAGUUCCAUCCCAGUUUCACCAGUUCCAUCCCAGUUCCA
rnacentral:lncRNA from 1 species